AGCUUUCCUGAUCCCAUUCAUCUUGCUACUGCUCAUUACCGGAUUUCCAAGUUUCUUCUUAGAAUCGAUAAUCUCUCAGUUCUCGGGAAAGGGCGCCAAACAAGUUUGGAGGUUUUGUCCUUUGUUUAAAGGGAUUGGGGUCGGCGCAGUAGUAGUUGCAUGUUCUUACAUGCCCUACUACAACCUCUUCCUGGCCUGGCCCAUCUACUACAUGGUGAAGUCCUGCUCCAGCGUCCUGCCCUGGACAACGUGUAGCAACAGCUGGAACACCGACCUGUGUGUGGAAGACGUGAAUACAAUCUACGACAGCAACAUGACAACCGUGGCAGGGAAUACAUCAGAUAAAAUGACUACAGCCAAACUGUGGGAAAAUGUGACUCUGGCUCAUACACCUGCAGAGGAGUUUUGGCAGUACAAUGUACUGAGUGUCUCAACAGGCUUGGAGGAUGUGGGAUCUGUACAGUGGCACAUAGUUGGAUGUCUGUUUGUUUCAUAUAUAAUAAUAUUUCUAUGUCUUGUACGUGGAAUCAAGUCAGCU